AUUAUUAUUAUUAUUAUUUUGUACAUUUGCUAGUUAUAAUUGUGAAUUGCUUUAUGGAAGUUGAAAGAAAAUCUCAGGCUCUGCCACUACAGUCAUGUAUUAAUUUUCACAUCUUACUUAUCUUCCCUUUACCUUCUAACCGAACAAAGUAAAGGCGCCUUACUUUCCUUUCCGAGCCUUACCUCCAUUUACUAGGCCAAAAAUUUAGAACAAUAUGAACAUUUAAUUUCACUUUCCUAUCUUACAAAUAUAUAAUCAUGGUUCCACUUUCUUCAUAUUUAAAGUUUCCUAUAAUUGUCAGAAUGGGGUUUUGGUAUUUAGCAUUUGUGACUGAGAGAUGGUUUCAUCAUCUCUGUAAUGGAGUUGUAAAAAUCCUAGGAGAUUGAUUGGCAUGGAUGGAGCCACUUCAUGUCGAGUGGGGUCAAUUAAACCCAAUUAGCUUUGUAAAAAAUUUAAAUAAUAUAUAAGUAAUAGAUAUAAUACUGUUAAUAAUUUUUAACAAAUUAAGUUCAUUGAAAUUAAUAAAA
rnacentral:misc_RNA from 1 species